rnacentral:rRNA from 1 species
AAAUUGAAGAGUUUGAUCAUGGCUCAGAUUGAACGCUGGCGGCAGGCCUAACACAUGCAAGUCGAACGGUAGCACAGAGAGCUUGCUCUCGGGUGACGAGUGGCGGACGGGUGAGUAAUGUCUGGGAAACUGCCUGAUGGAGGGGGAUAACUACUGGAAACGGUGGCUAAUACCGCAUAACGUCGCAAGACCAAAGAGGGGGACCUUCGGGCCUCUUGCCAUCAGAUGUGCCCAGAUGGGAUUAGCUUGUUGGUGAGGUAACGGCUCACCAAGGCGACGAUCCCUAGCUGGUCUGAGAGGAUGACCAGCCACACUGGAACUGAGACACGGUCCAGACUCCUACGGGAGGCAGCAGUGGGGAAUAUUGCACAAUGGGCGCAAGCCUGAUGCAGCCAUGCCGCGUGUAUGAAGAAGGCCUUCGGGUUGUAAAGUACUUUCAGCGGGGAGGAAGGUGUUGUGGUUAAUAACCGCAGCAAUUGACGUUACCCGCAGAAGAAGCACCGGCUAACUCCGUGCCAGCAGCCGCGGUAAUACGGAGGGUGCAAGCGUUAAUCGGAAUUACUGGGCGUAAAGCGCACGCAGGCGGUCUGUCAAGUCGGAUGUGAAAUCCCCGGGCUCAACCUGGGAACUGCAUUCGAAACUGGCAGGCUUGAGUCUUGUAGAGGGGGGUAGAAUUCCAGGUGUAGCGGUGAAAUGCGUAGAGAUCUGGAGGAAUACCGGUGGCGAAGGCGGCCCCCUGGACAAAGACUGACGCUCAGGUGCGAAAGCGUGGGGAGCAAACAGGAUUAGAUACCCUGGUAGUCCACGCCGUAAACGAUGUCUACUUGGAGGUUGUGCCCUUGAGGCGUGGCUUCCGGAGCUAACGCGUUAAGUAGACCGCCUGGGGAGUACGGCCGCAAGGUUAAAACUCAAAUGAAUUGACGGGGGCCCGCACAAGCGGUGGAGCAUGUGGUUUAAUUCGAUGCAACGCGAAGAACCUUACCUGGUCUUGACAUCCACAGAAGAAUCCAGAGAUGGAUUUGUGCCUUCGGGAACUGUGAGACAGGUGCUGCAUGGCUGUCGUCAGCUCGUGUUGUGAAAUGUUGGGUUAAGUCCCGCAACGAGCGCAACCCUUAUCCUUUGUUGCCAGCGGUC